UACGGAGGGUGCAAGCGUUAUCCGGAUUUACUGGGUUUAAAGGGUGCGCAGGCGGAUAUGUAAGUCAGUGGUGUAAUCUCCAGGCUUAACCUGGAAAUUGCCGUUGAUACUAUAUAUCUUGAAUGCUGUGGAGGUAAGCGGAAUAUGUCAUGUAGCGGUGAAAUGCUUAGAGAUGACAUAGAACACCUAUUGCGAAGGCAGCUUACUACGCAGAUAUUGACGCUCAUGCACGAAAGCGUGGGGAUCAAACAGG
rnacentral:rRNA from 1 species